AACCUUAUGGACCUGCGGGCGUAUACCUGCGGAGGGAUCAUUACAGAGUUCAUGCCCUCACGGGUAGAUCUCCCACCCUUGAAUACUAUACCUUUGUUGCUUUGGCGGGCCGCUUUGGCUACUGGCUCUGGCUAGUAAGUGCCCGCCAAAGAACCCCAAAACUCUGAAUAUUAGUGUCGUCUGAGUACUAUAUAAUAGUUAAAACUUUCAGCAAUGGAUCU
rnacentral:misc_RNA from 1 species